UACAGAGGUCUCAAGCGUUGUUCGGAUUCAUUGGGCGUAAAGGGUGCGUAGGUGGCGGGGGUAAGUCAGGUGUGAAAUCUCGGAGCUCAACUCCGAAACUGCACUUGAUACUGCCUUGCUCGAGUACUGGAGAGGGAACUGGAAUUUACGGUGUAGCAGUGAAAUGCGUAGAGAUCGUAAGGAAGGCCAGUGGCGAAGGCGAGUUCCUGGACAGUUACUGACGCUGAGGCACGAAGGCCAGGGGAGCAAACGGG
rnacentral:rRNA from 1 species